AUACUUAUCCUGGCAAAGUGAGCUACGUGAUCAAGGAAGCGUUCCCAGGCGCGAGGCCACCAUCUGCACUGUGGCGUGUGCUGACCUGGCGAGAUUUCCCAAAUGGCGGAAAUCUUCGAUGUGCAUAAUUUAUGGUAGUGGGGGACUGCGUUCGCCGCUCGUCUCCU